rnacentral:misc_RNA from 1 species
GGAACACGCAGCAGCAGCAGCAGCAGUCGGCCUUCGAACCGGGCUCUCAAACCGAUUCAUUUGCCUCACAAACUCGCGCCGGAGUAGCUGCUGCUGCAUUGCCACCAAGGUUUUUUGUUGGUCAUUCGAUAUACAAAGGAAAGGCUGCUCUUACAGUUGAGCCUAGGCCACCAGAGUUUACACCUCUAGAUUCAGGGGCUUUCAAAAUAUCCAGGGAAGGAUUUGUGUUGCUUCAAUUUGCUCCUGCAGCUGGUGUUCGUCAAUAUGAUUGG